UGCGCAGGCCAUCUUAUCGCUCCGCUUGCGGAGAGGAAAGUCCGGACACCAUAGCGCAGCAUAGCGGGUAACACCCGUCACUCUGAUUUUUUUGGAGUAGGACAAGUGCAACAGAAAGCAAGUACAGUUCGGCUGUAGUGAAAUCAUGUAAACUCUAUGCGGUGAAACGCCAUGUAAACCAACAUUAAGGGUUGCGCGCCCAAGUUGGAGGGUAGGCGGAUUGAGCGAUGCAGUAAUGCAGCGUCUAGAUUAAUGAUAAGACACGACAGAAUCCGGCUUAUGGCCUGCUUUUUUA
rnacentral:RNase_P_RNA from 1 species